GGUUGUCUGCCCUCUCUCCCUCUUAGAAAACCAGUCGAAGAAGAAGCGCCCAUCCUCAGCGAGAGUACCCCAGAGGCCCCGACGCUGACCAUCGCCUGAGAAGAAGCGCCCAUCCUCAGCGAGAGUACCCCCGAGGCCCCGACGCUGACCAUCGCCUGAGAAGAAGCGCCCAUCCUCGCCUGAGAGAAGAACCCAUACUCGCCGACCGCCACCUGAGAAGAAGAACCCAGAUGUGCACGAGCGGGGUGCCCCUUCCGUCCUCCCCUGAAGCCCAGAUUCUUCAUAGCGUAUCAGAUUCUUCAUGAAUCGAAAUCUCGAUUCUCAAAUCUUGUGGGAGUAAAUCAUGAACCUGAAAACUUGAGAAUUUCUUCCGACUAUCCCCAGAUUUUUGCUUUGCUGAUGGGCUUGCAUCACUUGCUCUUAUGCGCCAAGGGAUGAAAGAUAAAUCUAGUGAUGCGGCUUUUGAUUGGAUUGUCACUGGUGCCUCUAUAUGCUAUCUUGGUGUUGAGAGCAUUUGUUACUUCCUCUUGACACUUGGGCUUGAAAUCUUGCCUUCCUACAAGGAGUGGUGGAGUAUUAAAAGUUUCCAACAUGAUGGUUCUUCUUAUUCAGAACCUCUUCUGGGAUCCUCUGCAGAAAAAGUUGCUCUUGACUUUGAUGAAGACACAGAUGUGGCAAUGGAAAGAAACAGAGUACUUUCAGGGUCCAUUGAGAAUGCUAUCAUUUACUUGCGUAAUCUUUGAAAGGUAUGUCUUCAUAAUCUAUAGAUAGUUUUGAUAGUUCUCAAAGUGAGCUUUUCAUCCCCUGAUCCCCCCUCUUAUAGAAACAAAACUUUUAGUAAGAAAACAAACAAGAGUACAAGUAAGUAGAGAAUUGGGUGUCCCUUUAACGAAGAAAGAAAAAACAGCAUGAAACUCAGUUCUAUUAAUUCGAAGGCCUAUGUAAUCUGUUUCUGUAAUCUUUAUAUAUGCUGUAAACUUCAGGUGUAUCCUGGAGGAAAAGUGGCAGUGUAGUCUCUAUCUUUCUCAGUUCAAGAGGGGGAAUGUUUUGGCUUUUUAGGCACAAAUGGAGCAGGAAAGACAACCACUCUGUCAAUGCUUUCUGGAGAGGAAUCUCCAACAGAUGGAUCAGCUUACAUAUUUGGGAAAAAUAUUCGCUCCAAUCCAAAGGCAGCUCGUCAGCACAUUGGUUUUUGCCCACAGUUCGAUGCUUUGAUAGAAUUUUUAACUGUCCAAGAGCAUCUUGAGCUUUAUGCAAAAAUAAAAGGGGUGUCAGAUUAUCGGAUAGAUGAUGGGUGAAGGAGUUUGAUGCUAGAUGGAUUGGUUGGGCUGGUGUAAAUGUGCCUGAUGAGACUGGACAAAUUGCACUAACCAAAGCUUUAGCUGAAAAGAGGUGCAUACCGGUAUUUCUUGAUGAGGAUAUUGUUCAUUAGUAUUACAAUGGUUACUGUAACAACAUAUUGUGGCCACUUUUUCAUUAUCUUGGGCUUCCACAAGAAGACCGCCUUGCAACCACCCGUAGCUUCCAGUCACAAUUCGAUGCAUACAAGAAGGCGAACCAAAUGUUUGCUGAUGUAGUGAAUGAGAAUUAUGAGGAGGGAGAUGUUGUGUGGUGCCAUGAUUAUCACCUAAUAUGGUGAAACAACAGAAGGCAAUUGUGCCUUCAAUUAAUUAAUUUUGUUUACCAUGAGUAACUCAAUUGCUAUUUCUUUUUCUGGUGCAAAUUUUAUAUAUAUAUAUGUAUAUAUAAAAAUAAAUAUAGAUAUUUUUCAUUUCUGUUUAUAUGCAUGUAAUUUUGUUUAUUUGUUUGUUUUUCCUUGUUUAGAUGUUGCACCGCCUCCACCACCUCCAACAGACCAAGUUUCAGAUGCAAAUUUAAGAGAGUCGCCAUCUAUUUCAGUUCGGGAGUCACAAGAUGAUUCUUAGUUUAUUUACAUUAAUUUACUAAGGAAUGAACUUUAUGAAGUUUUUUUUAUUUUGGUAGGGGUAACCUUAAAAUGAUAACUUUAUGAUUUAUUUUAGUAUUGAACAUUAUAAAGAAUUUUAGCAUUAAACAUUUUAUUA